UACAACUUACAGCGCCCAAAACAUACACCCGUAUAUACAAGUAUUAACCCACAUUGCACUAUCUACAGAGCCUCUAAGAGAAAGAUAAUACAACACUUGCCGGCAAUAAGGACCCAGCUUUGCCUUUGCAAUGACAUCACAGAAAAACUAUUACAACAACAGAGGUGGCCUGAACCACGCAAAGCCCAAGAAGGAAAGGGGCUCACCAACAUGUACACAACUGAUAAAAAGGAGGAGGAGCUACGUACGAUGGACUGGAGCGCCUGCAACGG
rnacentral:lncRNA from 1 species